UAAUAAUGUUUUUAUGGCACUUUUUUAAAUCCAUAUCCACCUUGUGUGCAAUGUCAGUCGAUCUUCUUCAUGGAGAUCGCACCAAACAUCAACCUUUAUUUUUAACUCUUUAGUACCUGAAAAUAUUUAUGAAUAAACAAUUCAAAACUA
rnacentral:misc_RNA from 1 species